rfam:Stegodyphus mimosarum contig14130, whole genome shotgun sequence.
GCAUUCGUGGUGUAAUGGUCAGAACGCUCGGUACGUAUUCGAGAGAUUCGAGGUUCGAGUCCCGACGAGGGCA